GUGCUCACUUCAGCAGCACAUCCUCUAAAAUUGGAAUGAUACAGAAAAGAUUAGCAUGGCCCCUGUGCAAGGAUGACACACAAGUUUGUAAAGCAUUCCAUAUUUAA
ensembl:snRNA Rnu6-899 RNA, U6 small nuclear 899